rnacentral:rRNA from 1 species
GAUGAACGCUGGCGGCGUGCCUAACACAUGCAAGUCGAGCGAACAGACGAGGAUUUUGCUCGUCUGACGUUAGCGGCGGGCGGGUGAGUCACACGUGUAUAACCUACCUAUAAGACUGAGAUCACUUCGGGAAAGCGGAUCUAACACCGGAUAAUAUAUUGAACCGCGUGGUUCAAUAGAGAAAGACGGCUUUGCUGGCACUUAUAGAUGGAUCCCAGCUGGAUUAGCUAGUUGGUAGGGUAACGGCUUACCAAGGCGACGAUGCGUAGCCGAAGUGAGAGGGUGAUCGGCCACACGGGAACUGAGACACGGUCCAGACGCCUACGGGAGGCAGCAGUCGGGAAUGUUCGGCAAUGGGCGAAAGCCUGACGGAGCGACGCCGCGUGUGUGAUGAAGGUCUUGGGAUCGUAAAGCUCUGUUAUUGGGGAAGAACAGAUGUGUAAGUAGACGUGGCCGUCUUGACGGUACCGAGUCAAGAAGCACCGGCUAACUACGUG